GAAUUUUCCUCCUCUGGCAAACUGGCCAAGGCUGAGUGGUUUGCUCCUUCCCCUCUCUCUGGGAGGCUGAGCAGGGGUGCCGGGUUGCUCAGGCCAUGGGAGCCACACCUGUUAUUGCUGCCUCUGAUUUGUGUGACACUGAGAAGCCCACAGGCCUGUCCCUCCAACUCGGUGGACCCUCUCUGUGUGCAUUUGGUGUGUGAGCCAGCUCUGAGAAGGGUUCAGAAGCCACUGGAGGCAUCUGGGGACCUCAGCUUCCAUGCCAUCUCUGCCUCACUCCCACAGGGUAAUGUUGGACUCGGUGACACACAGCACCUUCCUGCCUAAUGCAUCCUUCUGCGAUCCCCUGAUGUCGUGGACUGAUCUGUUCAGCAAUGAAGAGUACUACCCUGCCUUUGAGCAUCAGACAGGUUACUCCUUUUUUAAUGACGCUGAAGAAAGCAAGGCCACCAUCAAAGACUAUGCUGAUUCCAACUGCUUGAAAACAAGUGGCAUCAAAAGUCAAGACUGUCACAGUCAUAGUAGAACAAG
rnacentral:lncRNA from 1 species